UCGGCUGGGUGGGGACGUAACAAAGCGACCCAGGAAUGCUUGGGCGUGCCUCCACCCACGCCGGCGUCGGCGGGCGUAUUUCGCCUCACAGUAGGUCGCCGCGACCCGUUGCUUUUGGGGACGUCGAAGGCCCGGACGGAUUGGUACCCUACCGGCUGGGGAUGCGGCUUCGGCUUCUCCUCUUGUCCGGUGGGCGAAACCGCCGGUGUCCUGGCUGCCCUGCGACGGUCGUAGAGACGAGCCCUCCCCUUCGGGGGGGCGGCUCUCGCGGCGUGCAAAAGGUCGGUGAUCCACCCGACCCGUCUUGAAACACGGACCAAGGAGUCUAACAUGUGUGCGAGUCAGUGGGCGCACUAAACCCAGAGGCGUAAUGAAAGUGACACGGGUUCGGCUGUCGCCUCGUGUGGCAGCCGGACUCAGGGCCGAUCCCUCACCGGUUGCCCUCGCCUCUCUCCCGCGUCUCGGUAAGCCGGGUGAGCUAUUUUCCCCGGCCGCUGCUGCGGGGCUCGGGGGGA
rnacentral:rRNA from 1 species